GCACUGCUGACGAGCCCCACAACAGGGCGAAACGGUCGCCCAGUGU
rnacentral:hammerhead_ribozyme from 1 species